GCGGGAUGAUUGGCGUCCGAGCGCUGGGCUGUUCCGUGGACCCGCGCGGCCACGCCAGUGUGCUGUGCACGGGAAAUGUGGACGUGGGAGCACGGAGGCACCCAGUACUGUGGCGUGGUGCUCGUCUGGUCGUCAGCGAGCCUCAGCGUACUUAGGACACCGCAGUUUAUCUUUCCUUAGCGCUCCUAACGGUUAUGGAAAAUAGCGCUUGAAAACCUGGUAAGGACUAGGCAUUGUUGCUCAACUCUUGACAUUUACACCUUUGCCGGUAACUCUCCCUGUUUCACAGAUGGGGAAACGGAGGCUCACACUUAUUCAGUCUCUCUUGAGAUCCACCUGAUUCGUGAGAGGUAGAGCCAGGAUUUCAUUCUUGCCCGUCGAUGGCAUAUGUUAGUGCCUAUGUUGGGGGAGGCAGACUGCCCCAGCCCUCCCCAACACACGCAAUGGUUAUGAGAAGAAAUAAAGCGAAGGGUGUUCCUGAGAUUGACCCCAUGACCUACACUUAGUACAAGGCUAAGCUCUCUUAGCUCUCUGGCUUAGCAAUAAACUGCUUUGAAGACACAGAACUUUGCACUUGAGAGCCGGAAGAGACCUUGGGAAUCCCGGGUUCCAUCCUUUCUUCCACCUUGUAUACAGGUGAAUGCACUGUGGCCCAGAGAUAGGAAGUGACCAGCAAUCCAGCCACUUUAAAAGAUUUUUAAAAACAAGAGCCCUAGAAACGUCUACUCCAUUCCAUUUAUCAAGUAAAACAAGCAUAGACAGAACUGGCAGUUCUACAUCUUAACACAGAAUCCUUCUUGGUCCAGCACCCGCCUGGGUCACCUCCUCUUCCUGGAUUCAGCUACUGUUAACGGAAGAAACCAUGAAGCCUCAGAAGGUUAGAGCCAAAGGGACUCUACUGUGUAGCCCCAAUCACCUUCUUUUACAGUUAAGAGCCUGGAACCCAGAGAGGUUGAGUGACUUGGCCAAGACCCCCUGGAGGCAGAGGAGAGCAGAACCAAUGUUUCAGACUCCCACAUGACUUGCGCAUCAGUGUCUUUUUUUUGACAAUCUGUUGCUAUAAGAAAUUACUCGUUUGGAUAAUUUUCACACUAGAAAACCCUGUGACCCAAGGCUAGCAUUGAGAAGCUAAAGCUGGCCACUGACAUACUGUGAUUUUAAGGACAGUCUCCUUCGAAAUUAUCUGCCUUUCAAAAUCUUUGCCAUUGGAGACACUGGUUGGGGUUAUGUUAGUCUUCCUUAAGGAGGGCUCUACUAAAAUGCCAGACUAGGCCGGGCAUGGUGGCUCAUGCCUGUAAUCCCAGCACUUUGGGAGUCCAAGGCAGGUGGAUUGCCUGAAAUUAGGAGUUCAAGACCAGCCUGACCAACAUGGUGAAACCCCAUCUCUAUUAAAAAUACAAACACUAGCUGGACAUAGUGGCUUUUUUGUGCCUGUAAUCCCAGCUACUCAGGAGGCUGAGACAGGAGAAUUGCUUGAACCCGGGAGGUGGAGGUUGCAGUGAGCCGAGAUCACGCCAAUGGACUCCAGCCUGAGCAACAGAGUGAGACUCCAUCUCAGAGAGAGAGAGAAGAAAAGCCAGACUAGUCAACAUUCAGACAUACAAGACGGAGAUCACCAUGCGAACCCAGCCUGGCCCUUAGAUGUGUGUGCUCGAGCCAGGAUCAUCCAGAGUCUGAUAGCGCCUGCACCCCAACACGGUUGGAUUCCAGGACGCCAGUGCCAAACCCAGAGAAAGGACAACCAGCUUCCAUGCAUUUGCAUUUAAUUUUUAAAAACAAUACAUAUUUCAGUGUUAACUUCCUCCCCUCACCUGGCUUGAAAUAUUUUCCCCAUUUUCUAGGGAAACAAAAUCUACCAAAAGGUGCCGCCUGCAAGACCCCGGGCCCAGCCACUUCUGGAGGGUGGUGCUGUGUGGACUCCUCUGGGGCCAGGACAGGGCCCCUUCCUGGGCUCCUCUUCAGAUGCAGCUUUGCCACUGUUUGUAUCUGUUGCUUAGAAAAUCGUCUUUAAUGUUUCAAGUGAGGAAAGGGUUUCCAGUCACCUCCUAGAUUUCACACCGGGACACACACCUGGGUCAGGUGAGCAUGACAGAGCCCCCAGGAUGGGCACCUGACUCUGCAGACCAGAGGCCAGUGCCGGUGGGGGCCAUGGCAGUGCCCUGGGCACACACACUCUGCACACUGUGGGCUCAGUGGUUCCUUCUGUGCACCUGCUAGGAAAGCUCCUGAAGGUCCCUGCCCGACUUGUCAAGAAAUCAGAAGCCGUUUUAGAGCCACAUUUUAUUGUACUUGUUGCUUCACCGCUGGACAGCAGCAUGACAUGCUUUGUGCAUGAUGUAUACAUAUACAUACAUGUACACACAAGGACACACCACAGCCUGCACUCACAGCAUGUGACAACACGAACCGUUGCUGGUAAGGACAGUAAAAAUGUAGCUUUUGCCAAUUCCACAGGACAAUGACUCACAACCAAAAUAACAGGCACAGAUCAGUCCUGCGCCACACUAUUUGGGUUCCCAGCUCCAAAUACUGGGAGUGAGAUCAGUGACUUCGUGUCCCCUCAUGAGAUGUCCCCACAGUAGGAUGCACUGAGCCAGAGCUAAGGGAGGGCGGACAAGCCCCACGUUGAACUCUGCCUGCAGCACCUGGACCCUCCCGGGGCAGCCUGCAUGCUGAUGCCCCUGCAGCACAAGGCUCGCCCGGAACAGAACGCCCUGGGCUCGGCAGGACAACGGGUGCCACCACUGGCAACACGUAGCACCUGAGAGCAGCCUCGACUGCGUGAGGCUCCAGGGCCUUCCCUGGAUGGCAGCAGCUGACGUGGAGAUGAAGCUUCCUGCUGGGCACAUGCACAUGCCAGUUUCUUUUCCUAAUAGGUCCCCACUGGGUGCUGGCUGCAUCAACUGAACAUCAGAGAACUAGGAAAGUUCACAAACACUGAGCAGUAGUAUCUAAAGCAGUUUAAAAAUAAAGCCAAAAGGAAGACCAAAAAAUCCCUCAUCACUGAGCGGAGACAAAUCUACAUACCAGCAGCUGCCUUGAAAGGGCCGGCGGGGCCGCUCCCAUGCCUCCUGCAGGUCAGAAGCAAUCAGUGCUGCCUGGACCCCCUUGUGAACCGAACAUGCCUCAAAAACACGACGACCCCAGCAGGCCCCUGGCAGCACCCAGCAGCAGCGUCCAAUGGGACGUUCUGUGCCCAUGGCCACAGUGGCUCACAAGCAUCAUCCGCAGCCCAAGAGUGAGGAGUCAGGGUCCUGUCACUGCCACCAGCAGGCAGGGGUGCUGGGGGCAUUCUGAUCUGUUAGCAUGUGGACAAGGAGGCGCGUAAGCUGCCCCCGGGGACUCACCACCUCUUUUAAUUAAUAGGGAAACAGUCCACUCAAGAAAAAGAGAAAACCUGGGAAGUUCUUUUUCCUGAAUUAAGACAAGGCCUUAAAACCUAAAGGGCAGAACACCGGAAACAGUUUUGCUUCCAGGUCAGGCAGUGGGAGGAACUCCAGGCCCCGAGUGUCUGGGCUUCCUAGGUGUCUUAUAAUCACAAUCACCACUGUGAGAAUUUUCAUGGCCAUGAUUUAUUUAGGUUUUACAAAUUCUGUAGGAACUGGGUUCCACAAACCUCCAGACCUGCUCCUCUUUCCCACCCUACCCCACCCUUUGCGGGGAGCUGCAUGGUUCUAAAAAAUGGUCCAUUGGACUCUGUAACUGAAAAGCCACCUGGCAAGGGGCCCACUUUGAUGGGUACCAAAGGGCCUUGGAGUGUUCUAGCCACAGAGCUGUGUGCAGGCACAACAGAGGGCCUGGUGGGGCUGAGCCAGGCCCCCUGACAGGUGGCUUUCUACUUUAGGUCCAAGCUUAGAACCUGGCUCUUGGCCAGUCUGGGGAAAAAUAACUCACUUCCUAAGCUACAUCUGCAAAAAUUGCAAAGGCUGAGUACAGCCAGCAUUUGAGGCUGAACUUGCUGCUGUGUUGAACGGCACGGAGGCACCCCAACGUCUCGCUGCCUCGCAUUUCAGGAUGGGCCAAACAAUGAAUUUCUUAUUCUUUUAGGAGAGGUCUGAUUUUGACAAAUUAUUUCUAAUUUAAUAUCACAGUGCAUAGCUCUCCUCUCAUCAAAGGUCUUCAUGAUCAUUUUAGGGAGAAAAACCAAAGAAAAGUGAGACAAACAAAACUGCCCCAGGACUUGGUGCUGGCAGCCAGCUCAUCACCCACAUGGGGAUCCGCAAUAGGGGUCAGCUGGGGGCCCUCAACCAGCACCCCGCUCCUAAGCACGUCCAGAUUUGUCCUCACCCAUGUCCCUUCUGGCAACUUCCUGGUCAACCUCAACCCACCCCUCUGCACAGCCUUGGGUGGGCCGCUGAGGGCCAUGAGUGAGCUGGGGCCAUGAGUCAGCAGGCAGGCCGGGAAAAAGGGCCUCAGGAGACUCAUCUGGUUGGUCCCAGCCAGAGCCACCACACACAGCCUCUUCCUCAGCUUCAUCUCUGCUGAGAACUCUGCAGCGGCCACCAUGGAUGUUCUGCAGAAGCCAGGCCCACUGAGUCUGCAGCAUGGGGCCAAAGGCAGGCCCAGCAUAUCCCGUGAGCCACAGAGUGGGGGCAGCUCUGAGCCCUCGGCCAGCACAGGGACAUCAGACCCGUUUCCCCCACUCCUCUACCCAGGGCGCCACCAACAAGGUCUAGGACAGACAAAAGACUGACUUCCAAUGGUCCACACGUGGAUUCCGUGGUCUGGCUGCUGGCCUCCCAGGGACCCAACCCUUCUGAGCCAGAGGGGUCACUCUGGUCCAGUCAGUCCUUCCUCCAGGGACAUAACGAAUCUGGCUCUGCCUGAAUCAUCGAUGACAGGGCAAAGGCAACUGGAGCAGAUGGGAGCUCUGGCAAACACGGGAGGAGGGUCUUGGAAGAGCCCCCGUCCCCAGCGGCUAGAUGCUUACACAUGGACGAUCUACUCUCCUGACUGUGGCUCAUCAGGCUGGUGCUACCAUCUGUGGUUGUAAAGGUCCAAAGAGGGCUACGGAAAGGACAGGUGGGCUGGAAGGAAUGUGGAGAAUGACCCCAGGACAGGGGAGGAGGAGACUGGCCCCAUCAAUCCAGUUCACAGCCGGGAAAAGUGCAGGAAGACAGACAAACGACCCCAAUGUGGGCGAAGGACACACCUCCAAGGACUGGAGCCGCAGAGUCCACGUGACAAGGAGACCCAGGAUAGAAACACUGUGCGGAGGACACGGUGUCAACCUCGGAAGGGGCCUCCUAUGCUUUCCACACCAAAUUCCCCCACGGGAGAAACCCUGCCACAAGGCCCAGGAAACCACAGACCCCAAGCCAACUGUGCCUAGCACAGACACCAAGGAAUGACAGCGAUGCCAGUGACGCCAGGAGGACUUGGCCCCUAGCCCCAUCAUCGGCUGUAUGAUGAUCGGUGUGUCUGCGGCCUCCCUCUCGUCAGACUGCAGCCUUGGGGGACACGUAGAACUCUGUCUCCUCGCCCUCAGGGGCCUUGAGCUUACACUUCCCGCAGCACAGCAGCGGUUGAAGCAGCACCACAGACAGCAGCAGCAGUAGCAGCAGGUGAGGAGGCUGCAGAAGACAAACAGGGCCUUGGCCCCCCCGGCUGGACAGCACGAGGAAAAACAAAGAUCCCCAAAGUCCAUUUCGCUCCGAGGUCAGUGGACACAGCUCUGUGACUGUCCUGUGCUGUGUGGGUCUGUAGAAGGGCCAGUCAUGGGCCAUCGAGCUACUCACAGCCAACUGCACCCAAGUCCAAGCCUGGCUCUGUUCCCAUACACAGAGACAGGAUGGGGGCUGCUGAUCUGGCCUGAAGCCUUGCUCUGGGCACUGAAAACGGGGGCUAUUUCCUUACCUGAAGAUCUGGAAGCAGCAUGUUGACAAAAGCACCAACUGCUCUGCCAUCACGUCCCACUGGGUGUCAGUGGGAAGGCCUAACCAAGGCCUGCCUCCAGUGGCUAUCAGGCAGACGGGCCAGCAGUUCCCCUCCAGGAGCAAGGGACCCUUCUUACCCUUUUGAUCACAUUUCCCUCUCUUAAAGGGGCACUGCUGUGGGAAGGGGUCAUGCCUUGGAUCCUACAGUCAUGGACUGUGGGUGAAACAGGGGCUCUUGACUCUUCACUUCCUAGCCAUAACUCUGCCCAUUGGACCACCCACCCUCCCUGCUGCUGGUCUCCUGGCUCACCCAUCAAAUCCAACUGCUUUAUCUAGAAAAUACUUUUCUCCAUUCUCAUUUCCCUUUGCUUUCCCACUCACCUCUGUUUUUGUUUCUGUUUUAUUUUGUUCCAGACACCCUUUUCAGGGAAGUAGAUCAGGGAGGCCCAAGAGAUUAGGCCUGGGUGGGCUGCUAUCGCUUAAGAACACGUCUGCCUCUGGGGCUCCUCCCUAACAGCUGGCCUCUGGAGCUGGGAGAUGCAGCUGCCUGGCAGUCUGCAGAGGCAGAUUGUGUUGUUACGUGCUGGUCACCGCCUUGAGCCUUAAACCACAGUCAGCAAUGAACCUGGAGGCAGGGCAUCUCUGGGGAUGAUCGACCGCAUCUGCUCAGGUUCUUGCAGGGCAGGGCAGGCAGAGAUGUGUGUUUGGAGCCAGAAAGCCUUCCUGCCAACCUGCCAUGCCUCAGUUUCCCUAUCUGAACCACCUUCAUAAAAACAACUUACGGCUCUCAGAGCAGCACAUUUGUAAAAACCUGAAAAAUAUAAAGAAAAACGUCACUCACAUUUCUCCCAUGAACAUUUUCCUAUUUUAUGUAUCUUUUAUGUAACUGAAUCACAUUGCAUAUACAAUUAUGUGUUCCAUUUUUAAACAAUAAGCUUCCCUUGUUUUAAAAGUAAUAAUCCAUGUUUAUUAUGUGUUAUUGCAUAGAAAUUUCAGACACAAAAAAAGAAAGGAAAAAUGACUCCUUAUUGCUCCAUUGAGAAAUAAUAAAUAUGAAUAUUAUUCUGAUAAAUAUCUUUCUGGUCUCUUUAACAAGCAUAAUAUACCGAAAGGAAAAAAAAGCUCAGUAGAUUCAUACUUUACUUACUUUUUUGUAACUUUCCUUUUUCACAUAACUCAGUAAGAACAAUUUUUUUUUUGAGAUGGGGUCUCACUCUGUUGCCAAGGCUGGAGUGCAUUGGCACAGUCUCAGCUCACUGCCACCUCCGUCUCCCGGAUUCAAGCAAUUCUCCUGCCUCAGCCCCCCGAGCAGCUGGGAUUACAGGUGUGUGCCACCACACCCGGCUAAUUUUUGUAUUUUUAGUAGAGACAGGGUUUCACCAUGUUGGCCAGGCUGGUCUCGAACUCCUGACGUCAGGCGAGCCACCCGCCUCGGCCUACCAAAGUAAUUUUUAUAUCAUUAAGCGUUCUCUUGCCUUAAUUAUGAUGACAGCAACAUACAGAUGUGCCAUAUCUUAUUCAACCAAUGUCCUAUCGUUAGACCUUUGUUUUGGCUCUCAAUUUUCCCCAUCAUACACAGGGCUCAUUGUAGCUAAAUCUUUUGAUUCCUCCUGUCCUGCUUCUGAAUCCCCUGGGGCUGUCCCAUGCAUAGAUUAUGUCCAGACUGCCCCUGACACUGUGCACAAAUGUGCUUUGAGAAAUAUCCACUAUACUAUGCACAUGUGAGGGGUUAUCAUUGUUUGUUACUUAAUUCAGAGACUUAGUGGUAUUGGUAGAAAUGGUGUAUAUAUUAAGCAAAGAAUAACAAUUUUAAACACCACUUACAUGGUACUUCCUAUGUGCCAGGUACUGUUCCAGGUGCCUCAUGUAAUUAUAUUUUAAAUAUACUUUAUUUUUUAAGAGCAGUUUUAGGUUCACAGCAAAAUUGAGCAGAAAGCAUAAGGUUUCUAUUCACUCCUGACUCCUGCACAGGCAUAGUCUCCCAAACUUUCAACAGUCCCCUCCAGAGUGGUGCAUUUGUUACAAUCAAUGAACCUUUAUCAACACAUCAUCACCCAUAGUUUACAUUAGAGUUCACCCUAGGCGUACAUGUUCAAUGGGAUUGGACAAACACAUAACGACAGGUACCCACCCUGAUCGUAUCACACAGAGUAGUUUCAGUGCCCUAAAAAUCCUCCCAGAUUCACCUCUUCAUCCCUCCCUCCGUCCUAACCCCUGACAACCACUGAUCUUUUUGUUUGUCUUCAGAGUUUUGCCUUUUCUGGAAUGUCAUAUAGUUGGGAUCAUACAGUAUGUAGCCUUUGCAGAUUGGCUUCUUUCACCUAAUUAUAUGCAUUUCAGUUUCUUUCAUGCCUUUUCGUGGCUCGAUAGCUCAUUUAGUUUUGGCACCAGAUAAUAUUCCAUUGUCUGGAUGUUCCACUGCUUCACAUGAUUUCAACGUAUUUUAAUCCUAUGGCAACCCAAUGAGGAAGCACUAUUAAUUAAUUUAGCUUUUAGAUGAGGACACUGAAGCAUGGAGAGGUGAAGCAUCUUACUCAAGGUCACAGACCUAGGAAGGGGUGGAGCUCAGAUUCUGUUUACAUCAGUCUGGCUUCAGAGUUUAUGCCUCUCUUAAGUAGCCAAUGCCCCUGAGAGCAAGGUACUGGGAAAUGUGGGGAGGAGUGGAGCUGUAGGGUGGGUAGGCAGGAGGAAAGAUUUUGGUGUUCCUGUGGAAUGAUGUUGUAUAGAGGGCUGACCGUCAUCUCAAAGGAGCUCAGCAGCCUCGAGUCUUUGUCUCAAAGAUGCUGGCAUGGAGGAUUUAAAACUAAAGUUACUAUCUUUUGGAGAUGCACACUGUAGAUUUAAGGAUAAAGUGACAUGACCUGUUUUGUUUGCUUCAAAAUAGUUCUUUUGUGGGGAGCAGUAAUGAAUGAAUGAAGUACUAGGGAUAUCUAAUCAGCCACGAGUUGAGUUUGUUGGAACUGAGUGGUGAAUAUAUGCAGGCUCUCUCUUCUCUUGUAUUUGGCUACAUUUUUCCAUGCUAAAAUGUUAAAAUAAAAAAAAGGAGGGGAGACAUAUUGUACCACUGGGUAGUUUAGGAAUGCCUUUUGCAGGGAUAUUCCAAUCCAGAGUGUAAAGAUUCAGAGUAGAGUAGAAAGACACACCCAACUCUACUGCAGCAUUCGAAAAAGCUUUGCUAGUUUCAGUUAGUUUGGGGAAACAUCCCUUAAGGGCCCAGCUUCUCCUAAGGAACUUGUGGAGUGAGCAUGAUAAAUGCAUUCAUUCAUUCAAGAAUGGUUGUUUUUCAUCUUGAGCCACAGGGUGAGCCAUGAGAGAUGCAGCUGAGUUUUGAGAGGUGAGACAGGUGCAGGCGAAAAGUUACCUGACAGUAAGGUAACUGCUCAGCAGUGCUCUCAAGCCAUAGAGAAGGCUGAGGUGGGAAGGGAAGGGGGCUUGGAGUGCGACUGGUUCACAACUCUGCCCCCUGCCCAGGGCUUCCUGGAGUUCAGGGAGGAAAGAGAGGUAAGAUGCCCAGAGCAGAUCUCUUCUCCCCACUCACAUCUUUGCAUUGGAGAGUCAUGGGCUGAGGCCCACCCAGCUGAGCCUGGGUCCCAGGCAGGAUCCAGGGUGCUGACACCCUUCCCACCCCACCCAUCUAGUUUUAGAACCCUGGCCUUGUGCUCCACUGCACACUUUGCAAAAGGAGACCUUCUUUCCAGCUGCAUGAACCAAAGAAAGGGAGAGAAAGCACCUCUCCAACACCUUCUUGCUGCCUUAUUUGUGGGCAAAAGACAAAGCAGGCCAUUUUGUAUUUCUUCUGUGACUGAAUUUACCAGGAAGUAUAGCAGUGUAAGGAGAUAUAGGCAAUCAAUUCCAAAAUGAUUUUUACAUUCUAAAAGAGAGAUUAUAGAAAACAAAUCCUCCCCAAAAGGUGAAGGGGGCUGGGCCCAAUGACAAUGAACUUGUUGAAGAAACUUCUAUGUGGCUGGGGAAGAUCCUGGCACUCUUAGGCCUCCCAUGCUCCUCUCCUGCCAAUAGAAGCUCCAUGAGCUUCCACCCACCCCAAUCCCCUCCUCCCUUCCACCAAAGCCAGAGUUUAAUUCCUAACACAGCUCGCUGUGAUCUAUGCCAGGGAUUGAGGGUGACAACAACAACAGCAACAACGAUAUUGAGAUGCAUAGCUCUAUAAGUAAGCCUCCUUCUGGAUUUCAAGCAAGGCUGAUUUGCUAAUAUUCCUGAUCUUUCCAGUCUGGAGGCAGCAGGAGAGGGCAGAUCAGAUGCAGCUAGGGAGGCUGCGAUUUCCAAUUUCUUAAUCUGCCCCCUCUGCUGUGGUCUAC
rnacentral:lncRNA from 1 species